rnacentral:rRNA from 1 species
GACGAACGCUGGCGGCGUGCUUAACACAUGCAAGUCGAACGAAGUGGCGCACGUGUGAGUAACGCGUAAUCAACCUGCCCUUCAGAGGGGGACAACAGUUGGAAACGACUGCUAAUACCGCAUACUGAAGGAGGGGAUUGCGUCUGCUGUGCUAGUUGGAGGGGUAACGGCCCACCAAGGCGAUGAUCAGUAGCCGGUCUUGGGGGAUGGACGGGCACAGUGGGACCGAGAAAAGGCCCCGAAGCCUAAGGGGGGCAGGAGGGGGGAAUUUUCCGAAAUGGGCGAAAGGCUUACGGAGCAACGCCGCGUGAGUGAUGACGGCCUUCGGGUUGGAAAGGUCUGUUAAGCGGGACGCAGUACCGGAAUAGAAAGCCACGGCUAACUACGUGCCAGCCGCCGCGGUAAUAC